GUGCUUGCUUUGACAGCACAUAUACUAAAACUGGAAUAAUACAGACAAGAUUGGCAAGACUCCUACAAGAUAGAUGACACACAGAUCUCUAAAGCAUUCCAUAUUAUU
ensembl:snRNA U6 U6 spliceosomal RNA